UACAAAUCUUCGUUUACAGCUUUCGCAAGUUUUGCCACCGGUGCUGAUUAAUUCUGGAGACCUUAAUCAACAGGCUGAAGAAAUAUUGGAAGAGUGUGACCAUCCACAAGGCUUCCGUGAAAUCACUGUACCCAAGCUCUUAUAUCUUANUCAACUCCUCCGUCAUCUGAAUGUUGAUAAUAUAAAUACUCUGUACAAUAAGUAUCAACACAGGCGUAAUGUCAGAUAUGCCCUGCUGAUAGCAACUGUUUAUGCUGGUCAUUUGGAUUCAUUAAAGUUC
rnacentral:lncRNA from 1 species